rnacentral:rRNA from 1 species
CGUGCUUAACACAUGCAAGUCGAACGAACCUUCGGGUUAGUGGCGGACGGGUGAGUAACGCGUGAGAAUCUGCCCUCAGGAGGGGGAUAACGGCUGGAAACGGCCGCUAAUACCCCAUAUGCCGAGAGGUGAAAUGAAUUUCGCCUGAGGAUGAGCCCGCGUCUGAUUAGCUAGUUGGUGGGGUAAUGGCCCACCAAGGCGACGAUCAGUAGCUGGUCUGAGAGGAUGAUCAGCCACACUGGGACUGAGACACGGCCCAGACUCC